GGCGUGAGAAUCUGUGAAUAAAAAGUCACAAUGUUCCGUCUGAUUUGGUGUGUGCGUGCGCUUGUAUCAGUGUGGGUGUGUAUCUGGACAUUGCUCGGGUGGUGGAUAGUGCUGUUGUGACAGUGGGCUGCCCUCAGAGGUCUGUGGAUAUCCAGUGUAAAUCCAGCCCAGGGGAGCUGUGAAAAAGCUAAUAAUACGUUAUUGCAGUAGAGAUCCUUCCUGUCGCCUCUCCAUCACCACACCAGUGCCACCCUACACAUGGACCACAGCGGGAUAAUGGCCAAUAAUGUGGAGCAGCAGAGAGUGGGGAAGUCCAAACACACUGGCCGCUGAGUGGUGUGAGAGGGCCGGGGUCGAGAGAGAGGGCUGAGGUAGAGAGAGGACCGGGGUAGAGAGAGGACCGGGGUAGAGAGAGGACUGGGGUAGAGAGAGAGAGAGGACAUGGGUAGAGAGAGGAUAUGGGUAGAGAGAGGACUGGGGUAGAGAGAGGACUGGGGUAGAGAGAGGACUGGUGUAGAGAGAAGACUGGGGUAGAGAGAGGACUGGCGUAGAGAGAAGACUGGGGUAGAGAGAGGACUGGCGUAGAGCGAAGACUGGGGUAGAGAGAGGACUGGGGUAGAGAGAAGACUGGGGUAGAGAGAGGACUGGAGUAGAGAGAGGACUGGCGUAGAGAGAGGACUGGGGUAGAGAGAGCGCUGAGGUAGAGAGAGGACCGGGGUAGAGAGAGGACUGGGGUAGAGAGAAUACUGGGAGAGAGAGAGAGAGAGAGUGCUGGGGUAGAGAGAGGACUGGGGUAGAGAGAAUCCUGGGGUAGAGAGAAUACUGGGAGAGAGAGAGAGAGAGAGAGAGAGAGUGCUGGGGUAGAGAGAGGACUGGGGUAGAGAGAAUACUGGGGUAGAGAGAGAGAGAGAGAGUGCUGGGGUAGAGAGAGGACUGGGGUAGAGAGAAUCCUGGGGUAGAGAGAAUACUGGGUGUAGAGAGAAUACUGGGGUAGAGAGAUAUAGAGAGAGGACUGGGGUAGAGAGAGGACUGGGGUAGAGAGAAUCCUGGGGUAGAGAGAAUACUGGGGUAGAGAGAGAUAGAGAGAAUACUGGGGUAGAG
ensembl:lncRNA